UACGUAGGCAGCGAGCGUUGUUCGGAGUUACUGGGCGUAAAGGGUGCGUAGGCGGGUCUUUAAGUCAGGGGUGAAAUCCUGGAGCUCAACUCCAGAACUGCCUUUGAUACUGAAGAUCUUGAGUUCGGGAGAGGUGAGUGGAACUGCGAGUGUAGAGGUGAAAUUCGUAGAUAUUCGCAAGAACACCAGUGGCGAAGGCGGCUCACUGGCCCGAUACUGACGCUGAGGCACGAAAGCGUGGGGAGCAAACAGGG
rnacentral:rRNA from 1 species